AUUUAUGAAAUCUGUCUUUUGUUUGUUUGCACCUAAGCCCUAAUUUUUUUAAUACACACCACAUUUUCAGAAUUGCAAUGGAUUUGUCUGUCUUUCCAAUUAUUUUUGGGCAGAAACACUUUCACUAGUCUUUUUUUCCUCCACUCUAAAUUCUUCUUAAGUGAAAAUGUUUGUGGCAAAACCAGAUGAGUUUACUAAGAAAAAAAAAGACACUUAUUAGAUCACUAUUAGAACAAUUUAAUAACUAUAAUCAAGAUAAUGAUCAAGUAACUGUCAGUUUUUUAGAACACUUUAAUAAAUAUUCCCAUAUUGGCACCCCUAGUAUAGAAGGGUUUAAAGCCGCCAAAGAUGUUCCCUUCCCAAAUAUGAGGUCAGCUACCGAACAAUCCAAACAUCCAAACAGGAAAAAACACACAUAAAUCCCCCCAAGUACGAGACGAGGCUCUGUAUUGAGGGUUAAGCAGGAAUCUGUCUAAUCUGGGCUACCUGCCGGGCUUCUAUGCAGGUUUCCCACCAGGUGGACACUCCCCUAGGAGAUCUGGUGGAAAACUGUGAAAACUUUUUACAGUAACCAAUCACAGCAAUACAGGUAUAAACACUCCCACCUGAGCAGUAUAGGACCCUCCUCUCCAUCCUGGAGAUAAUUGGGAAGUAACUCAAUUAUCUCCGAAGAUAGUGCAUAACCUCCAUUUUAUAAAGGAUAACAAAAAUACAUAAAAACACAUAAGUCUAAAACUCCCGAACAGAAUCCCCACAUUCAACGUAUCCCCAGAUAGCUUGGAUCUGAGUGCACAAUUUUACCGAAUAGCGUCAGAUCCCAUACACACAAUUCAAUCCCCAUGGAGCCAAAGUCUUUCACAUAGUUUAUUCAUUAUACAAAUGGGCUCCAUGGGAUAGCUAUCUGGGGUGGCUCUGUUGGCAUAGAAAUGUACUGAACGGUAUGGCAUUCGUAUGAAUGGAAAACAGAUGAAGGGAGGUCGGCGGCUUCAGCGGUGUUCGCAUGAAAAUAGCAUCCGUUUUUAGUUCUAUGGAAUCAUCGACGAACACCACUGGGUGUUCAUAUGUACAAGAUGGCCACCGCCUCGUGUUCAUUCAUACGAACGACGACCACCCAGCCGACCAUUCGACAAUAGGAAGUGUCUGCGGUUAACCACAAUGUUCUAUUGAGGCCAAGAGGUUAACAAGCAGCACACUUCCCCGCUGGGUGGCCGGCCGUUCGGCAGUUCUUUCGGCAAAAGGGGAAUAAAUUAUAGGAACUGUACUGACAGGGCAAUACACGAACAAACAGAUGAACCAGCAUAAAAUAAAACUAAUUCAAAGACAGAGAGGUCUGUCACAAUGUUCAAACACACUUGCGGAACUCAUAGAUUGAAAUACUGGACAGUUCUGCGCAUACAGCAGCAGUACAGCAGCUUCUUGAUUAGUUACCCCGAUAGGCAUCCUGCAAUCCUGGCACUCUUGCACUUCAAUGGUUUAUAUUACAUCACAGGCCACCCAACCAUUGGCCCAUGGUUAACCACCUGUUUCCAAAUGUUACCUGCCAAAUUUGUCAUGUCUGUUUUUUUUACAACUCUUUAUUGAAUAAACUAGAAUGUGC
rnacentral:lncRNA from 1 species